rnacentral:rRNA from 1 species
GAUGAACGCUGGCGGCGUGCUUAACACAUGCAAGUCGAGCGAAAAGACGCGGCUUUUGCUGCUUUGUCGUUUGCGGCGGGCGGGUGAGUCACGCGUGGAUACCCUACUUAUCUGUCUGGGAUCACUUCGGGAAAGCGGAGCUUAUACCGUAUAAUAUCUUGCACCGUAUGGUUGAAUAGUGAAAUUCGGCUUUGCUGUCACUUAUCGCUGGAUCCGCGCCGCAUUAGGUGGUUGGUAAGGUAACGGCUUAUCACGGCAACGAUGCGUAGCCGACGGGAGAGAGGGAUCGGCGACACGGGAGCUGGGACGCGGUCCAGGGGCCUGCGGGAGGCAGCAGUAGGGAAUCGGCCGCAAUGGGCGAAAGCCUGACGGAGCAACGCGGCGUGAGUUGUGAAGGUCUUCGGUGCGUGAAACUCUGUUAUUGGGGAAGAACAGAUUUGUAAUUAACUAUGGACGUCGUGACGGUACCGAGUCAAGAAGCCACGGCUAACUACGUG